UCUGGAAACUNUCUGACUUGAGUGCAGAAGGGGAGAGUGGAAUUCCAUGUGUAGCGGUGAAAUGCGUAGAUAUAUGGAGGAACACCAGUGGCGAAAGCGGCUCUCUGGUCUGUCACUGACGCUGAGGCUCGAAAGCGUGGGUAGCGAACAGGAUUAGAUACCCUGGUAGUNCACGCCGUAAACGAUGAGUGCUAGGUGUUAGGCCCUUUCCGGGGCUUAGUGCCGGAGCUAACGCAAUAAGCACUCCGCCUGGGGAGUACGACCGCAAGGUUGAAACUCAAAGGAAUUGACGGGGGCCCGCACAAGCGGUGGAGCAUGUGGUUUAAUUCGAAGCAACGCGAAGAACCUUACCAGGUCUUGACAUCCCGAUGCUAUUCUUAGAGAUAGGAAGUUACUUCGGUACAUCGGAGACAGGUGGUGCAUGGUUGUCGUCAGCUCGUGUCGUGAGAUGUUGGGUUAAGUCCCGCAACGAGCGCAACCCUUAUUGUUAGUUGCCAUCAUUAAGUUGGGCACUCUAGCGAGACUGCCGGUAAUAAACCGGAGGAAGGUGGGGAUGACGUCAAAUCAUCAUGCCCCUUAUGACCUGGGCUACACACGUGCUACAAUGGUCGGUACAACGAGUUGCGAGCCGGUGACGGCAAGCUAAUCUCUGAAAGCCGAUCUCAGUUCGGAUUGGAGGCUGCAACUCGCCUCCAUGAAGUCGGAAUCGCUAGUAAUCGCGGAUCAGCACGCCGCGGUGAAUACGUUCCCGGGCCUUGUACACACCGCCCGUCACACCACGAGAGUUUGUAACACCCGAAGUCGGUGAGGUANCCUUUUAGGG
rnacentral:rRNA from 1 species